GACGUAGGGCGCGAGCGUUGUCCGGAUUUAUUGGGCGUAAAGAGCUCGUAGGCGGCUUGUCGCGUCGACUGUGAAAUCCCGCGGCUCAACUGCGGGUCUGCAGUCGAUACGGGCAGGCUAGAGUUCGGUAGGGGAGACUGGAAUUCCUGGUGUAGCGGUGAAAUGCGCAGAUAUCAGGAGGAACACCGGAGUGGCGAAGGCAGGGUCUCUGGGCAUUAACUGACGCUGAGGAGCGAAAGCAUGGGGAGCGAACAGG
rnacentral:rRNA from 1 species